rnacentral:lncRNA from 12 species
CCUGUGAGCGCGGUGUUUCCUCCAGUUAAGGGAAACAUUUAUAUUCUCUCCGGCCCGCGCUCCGGGGCGCCCCGGGAGCCCCCGCGCCCCCCCCCGGAGCCCCCCCCGCGCCCCCCCGCGCCCCCCGCCGCAGCCUCGGGGGCCCCCUGCGCCCGGCCCGGGCGCUCGUUCCCGCGGGGGGGCCUCCCCGCCGGCUCCCCGGGAAGUAGGAAUUCCUGACGCGGCCGGAGGGGGAGGGGAGCGCGGGCGUCCUGACGGGAUUCGAGGAAGCCCCGCGGAGAUGAUUUAGGGGCCGCGAUAAUUCACUCAAUAGGGGCCUGGGGCGGCUCGCGGGCGCGGGCGGGCGGCAAGUGCGGCCGCCUCGAAAGGGCGCGCGGCGAGGUGGGGAGCGGCCCCCUCAGCGACAUUCCAGAGCUUUCAGCAGGAGCGAGCCGUGCACGGCCGUACUCUUUCAUCCGCCCGCUGUGGUGGCCUUUAGCUUCCUCUGCGUGAAUAUUAAAUUUGAGAUGGCGCCGCAGCAACACGUUUUGGAGAGUGUUCUUUGGGCUGUUAUUUGUAUGAUUUGGUGAAGCUGCCCCAUUCAAAGCCACCACCGGCAGCCUGAAUGAGACCACAGAGCGGGGAACACAGAUGGGACUUGGCCACAGACACCCUGAAAAGUCAAACUCGCAUCGGGGAAAAUACUUCCAGAGAGUGUUUUCUUGGACAGGAAAAAAAAAGGACCCUCUGCCUCACAUUGUCGAAAACACCAGCAGCAGGGAACAACUUUGUCUCCUUUGGCCUGCAAGGACUCCCUGCGGCUCUGACCGGCUUUUCUUCUAGAGAAAACCGCACGAGGUGGGCCCUGGCUCCCGUAAUCAGGCUCCCCUCCAGCUCGCUCAUGCCAGGCCAAAUGCCCAGGCCCCCUCCCCUGUGCUGGGCUUCCAAGGCAUAUCCCCUAACUGUUGAGGUCUCUGCAAUUGCUUUUCUUUGCAGCCUACCAAGAACACAACAGGAUGGCUUUUUGUCAUGUCUCCUCUAAUAUCCAUCUAUUUAAAUAGGACUUAAAAAAUGCAGAGAGAGAAGGACUAGUCAGGUGCCGAGACAUUGAUAUUGAUACCAAGGUAUUGAUAUUGUACCAAGAAUACAUCUUCAAAUUCUCCAACAAAAGGUAAACAGGUGAACAACAGCUGCACGUUUCCAGGCCUUUUUGGGGGGCUCCGCUAGACCCCAUAGUCUUGAGGGUAGGAACCUGGUGCUGUGUGUGUCGCUGUGCCCAGCUUUGAGCCCAGGACCUACCGUCAUCAGCAGCCAGCAAGCCACUGUGGAACUUAACCAAGUUACUGGUCACACCACCCAUCUCAGCCUCGUUCUUUAGCUGGAGGUCUCUGGACAGUCACCAGCUCAGAAUCGCAGUCUCUCAGUGCCAGAGCGGGGCUUGGAACAUUCUAGUUCAGCCUUCACAUCUUAGAGAGAGUCACUGAGGUCUUGAAGGAAGCCAUGCCUCAAGAGGUCAGUACCCGUAGCCAUGGACUCAGGGGUGAAAUCACAGGUACUUAUUUCUGUUCCUACAAAGAAGGGACCCAUGAUGGACAAGAAGAAGAAAAACCAGGAGGAGGAAGAGAUUUUAGUUGAUAGCUUAUAGUAAUAAGCAGCUAGCUGUGUGUGGUGUGAGCUCAAAAAUCAACUAUAAACAUUCACAGCUUAAUCCUCCAAGUGCCAGCAUGUCAUAACAAUACAUUUUCUUUUUUCAAGCAGGGUUUAUUUUUUUCAGUGUGAGAUGGAGACAGUAAGACCCAGGAGACAGUGAGUGAGUUGUGGCAUUUAGUAACUUGGGUUUGAAUUCCAGCUGUGC